rnacentral:rRNA from 1 species
UUUCCCGUGAAACUGCGAAUGGCUCAUUAAAUCGUUAUCGUUUAUUUGAUAGUACCUUACUACUUGGAUACCCGUGGUAAUUCUAGAGCUAAUACAUGCAAAAAACCCCGACUUCGGGAGGGGUGUAUUUAUUAGAUAAAAAACCAAUGCCCUUCGGGGCUCUUUGGUGAUUCAUGAUAACUUAACGGAUCGCAUGGCCUUGCGCCGGCGACGGUUCAUUCAAAUUUCUGCCCUAUCAACUUUCGAUGGUAAGGUAUUGGCUUACCAUGGUUUCAACGGGUAACGGAUUUUUAGGGAAAGAUCCCGGAGAGGGAGCCUGAGAAACGGCUACCACAUCCAAGGAAGGCAGCAGGCGCGCAAAUUACCCAAUCCCGACACGGGGAGGUAGUGACAAUAAAUACUGAUACAGGGCUCUUUUGGGUCUUGUAAUCGGAAUGAGUACAAUUUAAAUACCUUAACGAGGAACAAUUGGAGGGCAAGUCUGGUGCCAGCAGCCGCGGUAAUUCCAGCUCCAAUAGCGUAUAUUAAAGUUGUUGCAGUUAAAAAGCUCGUAGUUGAACCUUGGGCCUGGCUGGCUGGUCCGCCUCACCGCGUGUACUGGUCCGGCCGGGCCUUUCCUUCUGGAGAACCGCAUGCCCUUUACUGGGUGUGUCGGGGAACCAGGACUUUUACUUUGAGAAAAUUAGAGUGUUCAAAGCAGGCCUUUGCUCGAAUACGUUAGCAUGGAAUAAUAGAAUAGGACGUGCGGUCCUAUUUUGUUGGUUUCUAGAACCGCCGUAAUGAUUAAUAGGGAUAGUCGGGGGCGUCAGUAUUCAAUUGUCAGAGGUGAAAUUCUUGGAUCUAUUGAAGACUAACUACUGCGAAAGCAUUCGCCAAGGAUGUUUUCAUUAAUCAGUGAACGAAAGUUAGGGGAUCGAAGACGAUCAGAUACCGUCGUAGUCUUAACCGUAAACUAUGCCGACUAGGGAUCGGGCGAUGUUUCUAUAUUGACUCGCUCGGCACCUUACGAGAAAUCAUAAGUUUUUGGGUUCUGGGGGGAGUAUGGUCGCAAGGCUGAAACUUAAAGAAAUUGACGGAAGGGCACCACCAGGCGUGGAGCCUGCGGCUUAUUUGACUCAACACGGGGAAACUCACCAGGUUCAGAUGAAAUAAGGAUUGACAGAUUGAGAGCUCUUUCUUGAUUUUUCAGGUGGUGGUGCAUGGCCGUUCUUAGUUCGUGGCGUGAGUUGUCUACUUAACUGUGAUAACGAACGAGACCUUAACCUGCUAAAUAGCCAGGCUAGCUUUGGCUGGUCGCCGGCUUCUUAGAGGGACUAUCGGCUCAAGCCGAUGGAAGUUUGAGGCAAUAACAGG